rnacentral:rRNA from 1 species
UAGGGAAUAUUGGGCAAUGGAGGGAACUCUGACCCAGCCAUGCCGCGUGCAGGAUGAAGGCGUUAUGCGUUGUAAACUGCUUUUAUAUAGGAAGAAAUAGUCCUUGCGAGGAAAGUUGACGGUACUAUAUGAAUAAGCACCGGCUAACUCCGUGCCAGCAGCCGCGGUAAUACGGAGGGUGCAAGCGUUGUCCGGAUUUAUUGGGUUUAAAGGGUGCGUAGGCGGUUUAUUAAGUCAGUGGUGAAAGACGGUCGCUCAACGAUUGCAGUGCCAUUGAUACUGGUAGACUUGAGUAUGAUUGAGGUAGCUGGAAUGGAUAGUGUAGCGGUGAAAUGCAUAGAUAUUAUCCAGAACACCAAUUGCGUAGGCAAGUUACUAAGUCAUAACUGACGCUGAGGCACGAAAGUGUGGGUAUCAAACAGGAUUAGAUACCCGCGUAGUCCCUGAGCGGGCUGGCAAGGCGCAU